CUAGGAACUCCACCUGUAGCUCUUCUAGAGUUACUGUCGGUCACAAGCCCGGAUAAAGGAGGAGGGUUGG
rnacentral:ribozyme from 2 species